rnacentral:rRNA from 1 species
CCUACGGGAGGCAGCAGUGAGGAAUAUUGGUCAAUGGCCGAAAGGCUGAACCAGCCAAGUCGCGUGAGGGAAGACGGCCCUACGGGUGGUAAACCUCUUUUGUCGGGGAGCAAAGCGAACCACGUGGGGUUCAUUGCGCGUACCCGAAGAACAAACAUCGGCUACCUCCGUGCCAGCAGCCGCGGUAAUCCGGAGGAUGCGAGCGUUAUCCGGAUUUAUUGGGGUUAAAGGGUGCGCAGGCGGGGGUGCAAGUCAGCGGUCAAAUUGCGGGGCGCAACCCCGUACUGCCGUUGAAACUGCAGCCCUUGAGUGCGCGAGAAGUAUGCGGAAUGCGUGGUGUAGCGGUGAAAUGCAUAGAUAUCACGCAGAACUCCGAUUGCGAAGGCAGCAUACCGGAGCGCAACUGACGCUCAUGCACGAAAGCGUGGGUAUCGAACAGGAUUAGAUACCCUUGUAGUC